CUACGGGUCGCAGCAGUGAGGAAUAUUGCACAAUGGGGGGAACCCUGAUGCAGCAACGCCGCGUGGAGGAUGACGCAUUUCGGUGUGUAAACUCCUUUUAUAUGUCAAGAAAAUGACGGUAGCAUAUGAAUAAGCACCGGCUAACUCCGUGCCAGCAGCCGCGGUAAUACGGAGGGUGCAAGCGUUACUCGGAAUCACUGGGCGUAAAGGACGCGUAGGCGGGUUGGAAAGUCAGGUGUGAAAUCCUACAGCUUAACUGCAGAACUGCACUUGAAACUUCUAAUCUAGAGUAUGGGAGGGGGUGAUGGAAUUAGUGGUGUAGGGGUAAAAUCCGUAGAUAUCACUAGGAAUACCUAAAGCGAAGGCGAUCUCCUGGAACAUUACUGACGCUAAGGCGUGAAAGCGUGGGGAGCAAACAGGAUUAGAUACCCGCGUAGUC
rnacentral:rRNA from 1 species